AUAAAAACAUUUAGCAAGACUAGUAGUAAGUUCUUUUACUUAACAGAGAGGAUUAUUUAGCUGAGAUUAAUCUAAGUUAUGGCUUAUGAAUUUCACCUUGUAAGUUGAAUUUUAAUCAAUUCCGGUAUUUCCCGUUAUCGAAAGUUAAGUGUAGGGAUAUUCUAUCCCUAAACGAGGGUGGUACCGCGAAGCUUCGUCCCUGUU
rnacentral:ncRNA from 1 species